rnacentral:rRNA from 1 species
GACGAACGCUGGCGGCGUGCCUAAUACAUGCAAGUAGGACGCAGUUGCGAACGGGUGAGUAACGCGUAGGUAACUGCCUAUUAGAGGGGGAUAACUAUUGGAAACGAUAGCUAAUACGGCAUACUAGUAGAUGGACCUGCGUUGUAUUAGCUAGUAGGUAGGGUAAUGGCCUACCUAGGCAACGAUACAUAGCCGACCCGGGAGGGAGAGCGGCAAAACUGGGACCGAGAAACGGCCCAGACUCCUACGGGAGGCAGCAGUAGGGAAUCUUCGGCAAUGGGGGGAACCCUGACCGAGCAACGCCGCGUGAGUGAAGAAGGUUUUCGGAUCGUAAAGCUCUGUUGUUAAGGAAGCGGUACUUAACCAGAAAGGGACGGCUAACUACGUGCCAGCAGCCGCGGUAAUAC